UACAGAGGGUGCGAGCGUUAAUCGGAAUUACUGGGCGUAAAGCGCGCGUAGGCGGCUUUGCAAGUCGGGUGUGAAAUCCCCAGGCUUAACCUGGGAACUGCAUUCGAGACUGCAUUGCUAGAGUAUGGGAGAGGGAAGUGGAAUUUCCGGUGUAGCGGUGAAAUGCGUAGAUAUCGGAAGGAACAUCAGUGGCGAAAGCGGCUCACUGGACCACAACUGACGCUGAUGCACGAAAGCUAGGGGAGCAAACAGG
rnacentral:rRNA from 1 species